GGGGUCGUGGGGUAGCCUGGCCUAUCCUAUGGCGUUCGGGAUGCUGUGACCUGAGUUCAAAUCUCAGCGACCCCA
rnacentral:tRNA from 1 species